UCUGCAGAAUUUAAACAUAUAACUAAGCGAAGCAAUAAAAAAAAAAUAACGAAGAUUUCCUUAGUAACGGUGAGUUAAAAAGAAAAAGCUUACUGCUGAAUCCGAUAUUGGGCUAUAUGGAAAUUUAACGUAUAGGUAUAACUAACCGUAUUAUUAACAUUUUUACACCCAAAUUCCCCUUGAGUGAGGCUACAGUUCACAGAAGGACUACACCUGUACAGGUGAGAAAAGUUAUGAUCGGGUUGUUUAAGACUGCAGCUCAAAGAGGAUAGUAAACCUCAUCUAAGGCUAAAUACGACCACGAGACCGGUAGUAGACAAGUACCAUGAGGAAAAGUUGCAAAGAACUUUGAAGAGAGAGUCAAGAGGGCGUGAAAAUGAAAUGGGAACGAAUAGAAUUAAGAAAAUUAUCGAUAGCAAUCUUAAUUGAUCUAUUUUUCAUUAUCCAGAGCAUUUUAACAAAUUAGUACAAUCAAUUUAGUGCACCAAUUAUUUCAAUUGAUGGGAUCCUAAAUGUGCUGAAAUAUGUUUUAGAAGUUUCCCCCACAUAACUUUCACUUGAAAUAAUAGUGACAUGUAUCGAUAAUUUUACUAGUUAUAUUUACAUGUAAUCGUAUGCGACUUUACCGGUCAAAGUGAUUGGUAAUAUUAUAAUAUUGUAUGCAACAAAGUUAUAUAUCGAUGUGGACGUUAAUCACCUAUCUGACCCGUCUUGAAACACGG
rnacentral:ncRNA from 1 species